rnacentral:rRNA from 1 species
UCAGAACGUCGUGAGACAGUUCGGUCCCUAUCUGUCGUGGGCGCAGGAUAUUUGAAGGGAGCUGUCCUUAGUACGAGAGGACCGGGAUGGACGAACCUCUGGUGCACCAGUUGUCACGCCAGUGGCAUGGCUGGGUAGCCAAGUUCGGCAGGGAUAAACGCUGAAGGCAUCUAAGCGUGAAGCCCCCCCUAAGAUGAGAUAUCCCACCGCAAGGGUAAGACCCCAUGUAGACUACGUGGUUGAUAGGUCAGGAGUGGAAGUGCAGCAAUGCAUGGAGCUGACUGAUACUAAUAGGUCGAGGGCUUGACCAAA